GGGGCUGGACCAGGAACAGCCGGGCUCGGCAGCAUCGCGGGGCCGGCUGGGAAGGGACAAUCCCCCGGAGAGGCAGUAUUCAGAGUGAUGGCUCAGAUGCUCAGCAGCUUUGGAACAGUGAGACAGCUGGCUGGAAACACAGCUUCCACAAAGAAUUACCCAAACAGGGUGUUGCAAGGGAGAAAAGCAGUGAGGCCUGGCACCAACAAUAAGAGGUUGCAUAAGGUUUUGACAAGGAGCACAUGGCCUGUGGCAGCUCAGAAGUAAUCAAGAUAUCAGCAAAACUGGCAGCAGCAUUUCAGCCACGUGAGAAACAAGAGCACCCAUGGGAAUGACUGAAGAAAUGGAGUCAUUAAAACAAGCCACUUUUCCCAGGAACAGCUGGUAUUAUUUUAGAAAACAAAACUUGCUGAAGGGAACUGGAAUCUUGCCAGAUCUGGUACUUAAAAAGAAAGGCAAAAAGAAGAUAAUAAAGGAAAAAAAAUUAGAGCAUUUGAAGAUUAGCAACUGUGCAAAAGGAGAAAACCUCCUUUGCAGCAUCCUGAGGCAAGCACCAAAAAAAUGGGCCAAUAUUAGCAUAUGCAUUCAGCACACUUCUGGCAGCAAGGACGUGUUUGGAAAGAUUCAUGUGCAAUACCUGUCUUUUGUACUAAGGAAAAUACAAGACUAGAAAAAAGCAGAAAGGGUAACAGAGGACACCACUAAGGCGAGAUGGAGCAGGCCAGCUGGACUGUUAUGAUUUAAUUAAGGAGAGUUUGACUCAGUGGGAUUCACACAUGGGAGAUUAUUCCUAUCAAAUCUGACAGAAUUUUUCACAGUGGUAACAUAUCACAGAGGGAAGCUGUGGACAUAAAACCAAUUUGACACUGUACUGCACACUGUUAAAUUAGAAAGUUAAUGAUUAGGGUAGAUACAGCAUGAAAAGCUUGCAAAAGGAAAGAGCUGACUUUGAAAUCUAAUACAUGAACUAAAAAGAUACAGUGUAGACCACAUUUUAAUUCAUUCAGCUUCAUCAAAUUACAUGUAUCGGCCUACUCCUAAUAUCUUUUGGUCAACCAACCAUAGAGGCAUAAUACUCCAUUUCCAGCAAAACAUGAAUUCCCAUCUUCUACCUAAAAAUGCAUAAAUUGCAUAUUAUCUAAA